UACGUAGGUCGCAAGCGUUGUCCGGAUUUACUGGGCGUAAAGCGUGCGCAGGCGGUCUUGCAAGACAGAUGUGAAAUCCCCGGGCUCAACCUGGGAACUGCAUUUGUGACUGCAAGGCUGGAGUGCGGCAGAGGGGGAUGGAAUUCCGCGUGUAGCAGUGAAAUGCGUAGAUAUGCGGAGGAACACCGAUGGCGAAGGCAAUCCCCUGGGCCUGCACUGACGCUCAUGCACGAAAGCGUGGGGAGCAAACAGG
rnacentral:rRNA from 1 species